UACAGCCACAUCACGAUUAAACACCGGUUCUCGUACGAUCACUGAAGUUAAGCAAUGUCGAGCUUGGUCACUACCCACAUGGGUGAUCGGUUGGGAAUACCAGGUACUGUAAU